AGCCCCUCUCCCAUUGGGUUGUAGGGGUCCUUCUGCUCAUCAGCUGGGGCUGAAGGCCAAGGUCAGCCCUCAGGUAUCCUUGUUUCCUGCCUCAGUCAUGA
rfam:Neotoma lepida isolate 417 scaffold_9611, whole genome shotgun sequence.